rnacentral:rRNA from 1 species
GCCGCGUGUGUGAAGAAGGCCUUCGGGUUGUAAAGCACUUUUGUCCGGAAAGAAAUCCUUGGCUCUAAUACAGUCGGGGGAUGACGGUACCGGAAGAAUAAGCACCGGCUAACUACGUGCCAGCAGCCGCGGUAAUACGUAGGGUGCAAGCGUUAAUCGGAAUUACUGGGCGUAAAGCGUGCGCAGGCGGUUUGCUAAGACCGAUGUGAAAUCCCCGGGCUCAACCUGGGAACUGCAUUGGUGACUGGCAGGCUAGAGUAUGGCAGAGGGGGGUAGAAUUCCACGUGUAGCAGUGAAAUGCGUAGAGAUGUGGAGGAAUACCGAUGGCGAAGGCAGCCCCCUGGGCCAAUACUGACGCUCAUGCACGAAAGCGUGGGGAGCAAACAGGAUUAGAUACCCUGGUAGUCCACGCCCUAAACGAUGUCAACUAGUUGUUGGGGAUUCAUUUCCUUAGUAACGUAGCUAACGCGUGAAGUUGACCGCCUGGGGAGUACGGUCGCAAGAUUAAAACUCAAAGGAAUUGACGGGGACCCGCACAAGCGGUGGAUGAUGUGGAUUAAUUCGAUGCAACGCGAAAAACCUUACCUACCCUUGACAUGGUCGGAAUCCCGCUGAGAGGUGGGAGUGCUCGAAAGAGAACCGGCGCACAGGUGCUGCAUGGCUGUCGUCAGCUCGUGUCGUGAGAUGUUGGGUUAAGUCCCGCAACGAGCGCAACCCUUGUCCUUAGUUGCUACGCAAGAGCACUCUAAGGAGACUGCCGGUGACAAACCGGAGGAAGGUGGGGGAUGACGUCAAGUCCUCAUGGCCCUUAUGGGUAGGGCU